rnacentral:rRNA from 1 species
UACGUAGGGUGCAAGCGUUAAUCGGAAUUACUGGGCGUAAAGCGUGCGCAGGCGGCUAUGCAAGACAGAUGUGAAAUCCCCGGGCUCAACCUGGGAACUGCAUUUGUGACUGCAUAGCUAGAGUACGGUAGAGGGGGAUGGAAUUCCGCGUGUAGCAGUGAAAUGCGUAGAUAUGCGGAGGAACACCGAUGGCGAAGGCAAUCCCCCUGGACCUGUACUGACGCUCAUGCACGAAAAGCCGUGGGGGAGCAAACGAGG